AUGGCUCUUUUUUAUGGUUUGGUUGUUCUUAAUCUGAUAAUACUCAUUAUAUACUGUACACAUUUUUGUAUAUUUUGUUUAUGUAUAUUUGAUCUCUAGACAAGAGUGAUGAAUUGCGGUUGUUUAGUUUGAUUCAACUCAAAUUAUCCAUUUCUGUAACUCACCUUACAAAAUUUGUACUAAGUGGAUCUUAAUUUGAAGAGGAUUACUGCGUUUUUAACAGGGAAUUAUCGGCAUAAGGUAGCUUCUUCUCUCUUUUUUAUCGUUAAUUACUCUAGUUAGUGUAGAUUUUGUUGUUAAUUUGAUUUAGGUUUCUCUUUGCAAUGGUAAUCUUAAUUCGUUCACAAGUGAAAAUAACCUGUUAAAUCUUUCUGAUUCUGCUCAUGUUAGACCAAUAGUUGAAUUUAGGUUAAUGAGAUACUGUUAUUAAUUUCAAAUGUGUGAAAGUUGUUUUGUGGAUAAAGUGUGAAACCUUAAAAGGUACUUUAUCAUCAUCGUCAUCAUCAUCUAUAAUUGGUAUAUUAUGCACAUUUACAAUUGUAGGUGGUCUGGUUAUUUUUUCCUUUGAUUGGAUCUGGUACUAACAUCUUGGUUCUCAGAUAAAUUCUCCAAUUCAGCUUCAACAGAGGAGCCAGAGUUAUUGAGAUGAGAGGCGUGGAGCCUCUGUAACUUCCUUCAACAAUCUGAAGCCAAACUUAACUACCACAGGACUAGUCUCAGUUGCCUUUGCAAACGAACCUGUUAGCAUCGCCAAGCCACCGAGUGUAGGUAGUUCCUUAGUAGCUAUGUCUGCCUCUCAAGCUCUUGGUAUUGAACGACUAUUUGUGGUUCUUUCGUUGUAUAAAACUGGGGCUGGAUGGGUAUUGAAAGGAAAAGGACCGACAGUGUGUCUAUUCGAUGAUCAUAAUCAACAAAGCGAACGGCGAGAGAUUCAGUAUAUUGCCACCAUUGUAUGAGGAGGUGACUGGAAUUGAUGAAGCUCAACCUUUUGAAGAUCUCCAUUAUUCCUGUAUAAAAGCCGCUAACCAUGAUGGUCAAAUUGUAAUUGUUGUUUGUUUGGAUGGUCACUAUCUUAGCUUGGUCCAAGGGACUCUCUAAUACGGUGCUUUAUAAAGCGUAACCGAAGAUCAUUGUGGAUCCUAUUUUAUAUGUGGCAGAUCAUUGUGGUAUUUAGGUCAGCAAUUCCUGUUGUGCUCCUUACUGCCUAAAACACGACAUUUAGCCUGAUGGCGAAAUGCCAAGUGACAAGACUGUUGGGGGGCUUUCAACACAUUUUUUAGUGAAACAUGUGCUGGAAUACACGUUUCACGUGCCAUUUUCAUUGACCUUGAGCCCACUGUCACCAAUGAAGUGAGAACUGGUUUAUACCACCAACUGUUUUUCUCGGAGCAGCUCAUGUGCGGGAAGGAAGACGCCGCAAACAACUUUGCACGAGGCCACUAUACCAAUUUUGAACCACGCAAGAGAGAUUACACAAGCAGAAAUCGACGAAGAUGGUUGAAAACAUCAUGCAUCAGUUUUUUAGUUCGGUAUUUAGUGAUGAUAGGUAGACAUAGAAUUAGUUUAGUUUUUUGAUAGGUAGACAUAGAAUUAGUUUAGUUUUUUUUGAACAAGAUGUGUACACUAUGUAUGUUAUAAUGUAAUUAAACAAGUUUU